rnacentral:lncRNA from 1 species
GGGAUGGGCUCCGUGGGUGGCUCUUCUCUGUUUUCAGAUUGAAGUUGUGUUCUAGCUGAAUGCUAAAAGAAAGGGAUGAAGAGUAAGUCGAUGAUGGGUUUGCUUCCUGGAUCAAUUGUUACCAACUAACUAACCUGGUAUUGAGGGAGUCCUUUGAUCAUUGGAGUCUGCGGAUAAAGUCUACACUAUGGGUCAAGCUUC